rnacentral:rRNA from 1 species
GUAGGGAAUAUUGGGCAAUGGUCGGAAGACUGACCCAGCCAUGCCGCGUGCAGGAAGACGGCCCUCUGGGUUGUAAACUGCUUUUAUCUGGGAAGAGAAAGGCCAUGCGUGGCAAAUUGCCGGUACCAGAUGAAUAAGCACCGGCUAACUCCGUGCCAGCAGCCGCGGUAAUACGGAGGGUGCGAGCGUUGUCCGGAUUUAUUGGGUUUAAAGGGUGCGUAGGCGGCUGAUUAAGUCAGCGGUGAAAGACUUCGGCUUAACCGGAGCAGUGCCGUUGAUACUGGUUGGCUUGAGUGUCGGAGGGGUACAUGGAAUUGAUGGUGUAGCGGUGAAAUGCAUAGAUACCAUCAGGAACACCGAUAGCGAAGGCAUUGUACUGGCCGACAACUGACGCUGAUGCACGAAAGUGUGGGGAUCGAACAGGAUUAGAAACCCGAGUAGUCC